AUACGUAGGUGGCAAGCGUUAUCCGGAUUUACUGGGUGUAAAGGGCGUGUAGGCGGGAAAGCAAGUCAGGCGUGAAAACUAUGGGCUCAACCCAUAGCCUGCGUUUGAAACUGUUUUUCUUGAGUGUCGGAGAGGUAAUCGGAAUUCCGUGUGUAGCGGUGAAAUGCGUAGAUAUACGGAGGAACACCAGUGGCGAAGGCGGAUUACUGGACGAUAACUGACGCUGAGGCGCGAAAGCGUGGGGAGC
rnacentral:rRNA from 1 species